AUGGUAGACAGGUCAGGUGACAGUAAUGGUCAGACCAUUGAACCAAUCAGAGAGGAGGUGUGUGCUCCAGCAGGUAGUAAUAUUACACUUUCAUGCACCUACUCAUCUGCAGUCUCUCUUCAAUGGUAUCUCCAGGACCCUGGAUCAGCUCCUCAGUAUAUCCUGCUUAUCCUGCAUGGUGUCGGGUCUCCAUCACGGGCUCCAGGUCUGGAUCCUCGACUGUCAGUCAAACUGAAUGAAACCUCUCAGGUUCAAACCGACCGCAUGGAUCUGGAGAUCUCCUCUGCUGAAGUGACAGAUUCUGCUCUGUACUACUGUGCCCUGGAGCCCACAGUGACAGGAAACCCAGACACACUGUACAAAAACCUGUCAAGUGCCUUGGCAAGAAACCAAUGA